AGUAUUAUAAAUGAGUAUGACUGUAUUGAAUUGUGUUAUAUUUUUUUUAAACUGACAAAAAUAAUCAUAAAAACAUAUUUGUUAUUUGAAACACAACCUACCCAAUCCAUAAAUGAAAGGGUCAGUUCGGAUCGAUUUCGACAAUGAAAUUGCGGGUUGGACAAAAAACGCAACUCAUUAAAGUUUGAAUGGGUUGGGUAACGGGUUAGGGCAAACCCAGUCCAACCCAAUUCGUGUACAAUCCUAC
rnacentral:lncRNA from 1 species